CCCGCCGGCGACCGGCGCACGGGUGAGUAACACGUAUGAAACCUGCCCGUAGCAGGGGGAUAAGCGGAAGGAAUUCCGUCUAAUACCGCGUAACAACCCGAGGAGGCAUCUCCUCGGGUUUAAAGGAAGCGAUUCCGGCUACGGAUGGUCAUGCGUCGCAUUAGCUAGUUGGCGGGGUAACGGCCCACCAAGGCGACGAUGCGUAGGGGUUCUGAGAGGAAGGUCCCCCACACUGGUACUGAGACACGGACCAGACUCCUACGGGAGGCAGCAG
rnacentral:rRNA from 1 species